UUUGAUGGNGACCGGCGCACGGGUGAGUAACACGUAUCCAACCUGCCGAUGACUCGGGGAUAGCCUUUCGAAAGAAAGAUUAAUACCCGAUGGCAUAGUUCUUCCGCAUGGUGGAACUAUUAAAGAAUUUCGGUCAUCGAUGGGGAUGCGUUCCAUUAGGUUGUUGGCGGGGUAACGGCCCACCAAGCCUUCGAUGGAUAGGGGUUCUGAGAGGGAGGUCCCCCACAUUGGAACUGAGACACGGUCCAAACUCCUACGGGAGGCAGCAUG
rnacentral:rRNA from 1 species